AACCCCUGGCUAUGGGCAAAGAGACACCUGAUUGGUGGUGGUGCUCUUAUAUCAGUCAGGGGCAGAGCAGACUUGCAGUCCUUUGUUCAUCCUAGCUUGAUGCCUGGGUUGUGGCCAGAGCUGUUUCAUGCCUAGGGCACAUAA